AGCUGGGAUUACAGGUGCCCACCACCAAACCCAGCUGAUUUUUUUAUUUUUAGUAGAGAUGCGGUUUCACCAUCUUGGUCUCAAACACCUGACCUCAGGUGACCUACCCACCUCGGCCUCCCAAAGUGCUGGCAUUACAGGUGUGAGCCACCACACCUGGCCUAUCUGUACUUUUUUAAACCUCAUAUGAAGAGUUAAGAAUUAUGUAUUUGCUUUGAUUCAAAGGAUAUUGGAUUGUUUUUCCCUUAAACCAAUAUAGUCAAGCAACUUCAAAGGACAUAGCAGAUACUCAAAGCAGUUAUGUCUCAGGUAUCAACCAACAAUGAACCACAUAAUGGUCCCGUAUUAUAUACUGCAGACACUUUCAGGACUCAGUCAUUCCACUCCUAGAAAGGUACACAACAAAAAUGCCUACAUAUUUUCACCAGAAGACAUGAAACAGAAUAUUUAUAGCCGAACAAUUUGUUAUAAGCCCGAACAGAGAGCAACCUAAACGCCAGUCAACAGAAGAAUAGAUGAAUAAAUGGAAGACCGUCAGCAAUGAAAAUGACCCAUAUGCAACUACAUACAACAAUGUGGAUUAAUUUCACUAGCAUAAUGUUGAGAGAAAGAUACCAGAUCCAAAAGUGUGAGUUGUUCAAGUUCAAAUGAAAAGAUGCUAAUUAGCAACAUGAAAACAUAUGAAGGUAUAAAACUCAUGGGUAAAGGUAAGUAUAAUCAAAUUCAGAAUAUUCAUACUGUAAUGGUGGCAUAUAAAUUUUAAUUCUAGUAUAAAAAUUAAAAGACAAAAGUAUUAUAUAACUAUAAAAAUUUGUUAGUGAUUACACAAUGUAAAAGAUAUACAUCAUUGUGAUAUCAAUA
rnacentral:lncRNA from 1 species